rnacentral:lncRNA from 10 species
GUGAACCCGGGAGGCAGAGCUUGCAGUGAGCCGAGAUCGCUCCACGGCACUCCAGCUUGGGCAACAGAGCGAGACUCCAUCUUAAAAAAAAAAAAAAAAAGAAACAUCAGUGGAAGAGGAAGAAACUGAGAGACCAGCAAAGGAGUGAAGGAAGCAGAGCAAGGAAGGAGAAUAAGCUACACAAUGCUGUGAUUACAGGUACAGGAAUAAACUUACGUGAUCCUCAUUUCAAGGAGAAGAAGGAGAAGUUGAAGAAGGAGGAGAAGGAGAAGGAUGAGAAGAAAAACAAGAAGAGGAAGGAGAAGGAGGAGGAAAAUGAGAAGGAGAAGAAGAGAAGGAACAGCAGCAGUUGCAGGAGGAGGAGAAAGAGGAGGAGGAGGAGGAGGGAGUGUGCAGAAGCUGGGGGGGAUUCCAAUGUUGGAAGCAUUUUUAGCGUACAACAACAUCCAAGUGGAUUACUAUGAAUGCCUAGACCUCUAUGGCAAACAGUACUUAUACUAUUAUGAAAUGGUCAA